AGCCCUGUCUUCUCCACCUAGGGAGAGAGACCCCAUGAGCUCGUCAAGCUCCUUCUGUGACUGAUCAGAGAUCCCACCGUGAGUCCAGCUCCUGGUCCCAUGCUCUGGAUAUAUCGGUCCCUGGCAGCGUGGUAUCUCACAGAAUCUCUGACCAAUGGAGAGCUAAUCAAAGACAAGUUUAAUAGGUGAAGAAAAUACUUGGAUUGGGAGGAUGGCUGAAAAGUCCCAUUGAACAAGGCCCUCAAAUGGAGUUCCUGUGGAGUGGUCACCUUUUUGAUGACUUCAACUGGGAACAUCAGUACGGAACCAUCGCUGGGUGUUCAUUCCAUCACCCCUUCCUAUGUCCCUGCUCAGGACACCCUGCGUCUGUCUAUAUGCAUUGCUACCAGUUUAGACAGUGAGUUACAUUUAGUCCAUUUGUGCAUUGUUCUUUAUUGUAUCCAUGGUAUCUAGCACAAUUCUUGUUCUUAUUAGAGCUUGGUAAAUGUCAUUGAUUAAUCCAGGGCAGAUUAUCUCUCUCAUUUUCGUGAAUCCUCUGCAUAAACAAUUUGAUUAAAAAUUUAUGACA
rnacentral:lncRNA from 10 species